GAGCUGUUUGGAGUAGUUUGUUGUUUUCUUUUGGAGAUGGUAUGUCCCUUUAGAGUGGACUUUGGCCUUUUUCCUUUGUAACCUAUGACAUGCACAAAA